UGAGGAAUAUUGGACAAUGGGCGAAAGCCUGAUCCAGCAACGCCGCGUGAGUGAUGAAGGCCCUCGGGUUGUAAAGCUCUGUCAGGGGGGACGAGUAAGGACGGUACCCCCGAAGGAAGCACCGGCUAACUCCGUGCCAGCAGCCGCGGUAAUACGGAGGGUGCAAGCGUUGUCCGGAAUUACUGGGCGUAAAGCACGUGUAGGCGGUCUGUUAUGUCGGAUGUGAAAUCCCAAGGCUUAACCUUGGAACUGCGUUCGAAACUGGCAGACUUGAGUGCGGGAGGGGAUGGUGGAAUUCCCGGUGUAGAGGUGAAAUUCGUAGAUAUCGGGAAGAAUACCGGUGGCGAAGGCGACCAUCUGGCCCGCUACUGACGCUCAGACGUGAAAGCGUGGGGAGCAAACAGA
rnacentral:rRNA from 1 species